CCGAAUCAGUCUCAGCCCACUCCCGUGCGUGCUGCUGGAUAGGGUUCGCCGCCAACCUCACCGGUCGCUGCUACCGUCGGUUUCCCCUACAUGGCCGGAGGAUAGGCCAUCCCGCCGGUCCAUUCCCGCCCCACCCCCAUUCCUUGCUUGCUCCCUCCCUCCCCGCGCUCGCGCGUGGAAUCCCCUUUGACUCCCAGCCGCCCCCGCCGACGCCCGCCAGCCGCGCCUGCCGGCGGGCCGCCUCGCGUCGCCCGAUCUGUCGCCCGUCCCGCCUCCUCACCCAGGUCUCCUACCCAGGAGGAGGACUAGGAGGAGCAGGAGGAGGGGAGGCCUGCUGGGCGCGCGCAGGAGGCUCCCCGCCGGUCGCCACCCGCCACCCCAAGGAUAAAGGCCGGCUGCGCCGGUCCCCGUCGGUCGCUGCUCCGGAUCCAGGCCGACCACCGCCCUGCCCCCGUCAGCCCGGUCUAUUUCCCACCGGAUCCCAUCUUCGCCGCCGUCCGACGCGCCUUCUUCAAGGAGCUGCGACCCCAUGUCUCAGAGGAGCUAGCCCCGGCGCCAUUGAUGCCCGAGCGACGCUCCCAAGCUAGGAGCGGCACCAGGACGACCACGCCCCCGAAGCCUAAACUGCAAGUUGUUUCGUUGCUAUGAGGGUCUGGUGUUCGACGACCUCCCCGUGCGUUCAUCCUAACGAGACAUUGCAAAUGAUCUUUAAUUUGGUGCAACAUAACUCCCGACAAGCUUCGACGUCUGCCAUUAUCGCGAGCAAGACCCUGAUCCUCCUUCGUCGGCCACUACCGCGAGCAAGAACCUUGAUCCUUCACCUAUGGGUUGACGAUUUGCUUCAGAUCACGGAAGCUUGGGUUGAUGGAGUGCUUGU